ACUGAAACAUCAGUUCCCACAUGACCCCCAAAGUUAAGCAACAUUGAGCCUGGCCUGUAUUAAGAUGGGUGAACGCUUAGGAAUACCAGGUGCUA